rnacentral:rRNA from 1 species
AUUGAACGCUGGCGGCAUGCCUAACACAUGCAAGUCGAACGGUAACAGGCCGCUGGGAUCCCUUCGGGGUGACCUUGGCGCUGACGAGUGGCGGACGGGUGAGUAAUGCUUAGGAAUCUACCCAGUAGCGGAGGACAACCCGAGGAAACUCGGGCUAAUACCGCAUACGCCCUACGGGGGAAAGCGGGGGACUCUUCGGAGCCUCGCACUAUUGGAUGAGCCUAAGUCGGAUUAGCUUGAUGGUGAGGUAAUGGCUCACCAUGGUGACGAUCCGUAGCUGGUCUGAGAGGACGAUCAGCCACACUGGGACUGAGACACGGCCCAGACUCCUACGGGAGGCAGCAGUGGGGAAUAUUGGACAAUGGGGGCAACCCUGAUCCAGCAAUGCCGCGUGUGUGAAGAAGGCCUGCGGGUUGUAAAGCACUUUCAGUAGAGAAGAAAAGCUUGAGGUUAAUACCCUCAGGUCUUGACGUAACCUAAAGAAGAAGCACCGGCUAACUCCGUGCCAGCAGCCGCGGUAAUACGGAGGGUGCGAGCGUUAAUCGGAAUUACUGGGCGUAAAGCGCGCGUAGGCGGUUGGGUCAGUCGGAUGUGAAAGCCCCGGGCUUAACC